UUUUUAAGGAAAAACAUGAAGAAUUAGCUGGUUUAAUUUACUUAAAUUGAGGAAUUGCUGCUAAUAUUUGUCAUUAAUGACAGUUGAUGAAGAGUCUUUGGGUUUUGGACUGUUGGUUGGACGAAAGAAGCAAUUUGAAAACGUCACUUUGGGCUCUGGAAAUUUUUGUUCCCAAUUUCUUGACAUUUUAUAGACUUAACGAUUAGUCGAUUAAUCGUGAAAAUAGUUGGCCCUACCUUUAAUCACUGACUGGUUGGACCAGGUAGUUAAACCGUAAGACAGAUGAGAAAGUAUCAUUGCAUUUAGAAACAUCAAGCCGGGAUCAAAUGUGAAGCAUUUUCUUAUCUUAAAACAGAGGGCAGCGCAGCCCCGCAGGUUCUUCUGAUGAGGAAGACUUCUCUGACUCCAGGACUGAAUAUCGAAUGAAACAACUCUUCUACAUGGUUGUGAUGUCGGCUGCUUGUCGGUCCAUCUUUCUUCCCGCUGCCUUAAAUAAAAAUGGCGGUUGCUUCCUUCACGGCCGGAGGUGAGUUGCCGUUGAACUGCGUUUAAAAGAUUUAAAAGUUCAUAAAAGUCGAUAAUUGUGACUCUGGCGUGAUUAAACUGUCGUAUGUUGGUUGAUAUUGUGUCCGACUCGCCCUGUGCGUUGAGUCUUACUGUAAUUUGAGGCAAAUGUUUUAUUUAAUGAAUUGCGGUAAAAAGCCUGGAGGCUAAUGUUAGCAUGCUAGGCGGCCCCAGUACAGAGGGGAGGAAACCCCGUAGGUCCGGCUAACGGCUGCAUCCUGUCAGCUCCAGCCUGCGGAGUGUUUAUGGUGAUGCAGAUAUCGUUACGGGUGAUGGAGAUUGAAAAACCGACUGAAAGUCCAGAACUGUGCCGGGGUUAUUGAUCGAUGCCAGAACACAAGGUGGAGUACAUCGGCAGACACACACGUCCUACGGUAACUUACAUUAAAAAAAAACAAUAAUUUAGCUUUCAUCCACUUUCUGAAACAUUAUUCAUAUCGACUCACUUUGUUUUGGUUAUCUAAGUUUUGUGAAUGUUGUUUGCGAUUGAUAAUCUGCUGGCCGGCUGAGAGCUGCUAAACUUGGGGGAGAGGAGCAGGGAGCAGCGCUGCAACCUUUAGACAAAUAAACACCCGAAGUCGGU